UGGAAACACAACUUUCAGAGC
rnacentral:piRNA from 1 species